AACGUAGGUGGCGAGCGUUAUCCGGAUUUACUGGGCGUAAAGCGUGUGCAGGCGGGGGGACAAGUGGGGUAUGAAAUCUCCGGGCUAAACCUGGAGGGGUUAUGCCAGACUGUCAUUCUAGAGUGCGAGAGAGGGGCGUGGAAUUCCGGGUGUAGUGGUGAAAUGCGUAGAGAUGUGGAGGAACACCGAUGGCGAAGGCAGCCCCCUGGGCUAACACUGACGCUCAUGCACGAAAGCGUGGGGAGCAAACAGG
rnacentral:rRNA from 1 species